rnacentral:misc_RNA from 1 species
AAAGUCGUAACAAGGUUUCCGUAGGUGAACCUGCGGAAGGAUCAUUAACACGUGUAUCCACGUAUAAACCUUUGUGCACUUGUUCUGUUUUGGGGCGUAUCUGAACUGCGAGGUUCAGUGUCGUCCUGUCUUUUUGACUCAAAUUCAUUUUUGAGCCGAAUCGACGCAACUAUUAACCCUUUAUAACAACCUGUCUUAUUUACUUGUUUCAGCGAAAGCUGAUAACAAUUAUCUAUUUAACUAUAGAACAACUCUUAGCAACGGAUAUCUUGGUUCUC